ACCUAGCCUGCAGAGCAGUUGUUUUGGUUAGGGGCUUAGCCAAAGCCCCUAGGCCUAACCAAAACGCCUGCUCUUCAGGCUAGCU